rnacentral:tRNA from 1 species
CACUUCUUAAUUUAUCAAAAUAACUGUUUUGGAUACAGUAAAUAACUAAAUUAUUAC